CGGCCUCUCGUCCGAGUUACGUGUAUUCCGUGGAGGACUGAGGAAAGAGAGAAGGAUCGGAAACGCAACGCAACCGGAUUCCGUUUUCAUCGAUGUUCAACAGUUUUAUCUCGCGAUCGACAUUUCGAACUUGGCCU